GCCAUCGCUCAACGGAUAAAAGGUACUCUGGGGAUAACAGGCUGAUACCGCCCAAGAGUUCAUAUCGACGGCGGUGUUUGGCACCUCGAUGUCGGCUCAUCUCAUCCUGGGGCUGUAGCCGGUCCCAAGGGUAUGGCUGUUCGCCAUUUAAAGAGGUACGUGAGCUGGGUUUAAAACGUCGUGAGACAGUUUGGUCCCUAUCUGCCGUGGGCGUUGGAUAUUUGAAGGGGGCUGCUCCUAGUACGAGAGGACCGGAGUGGACGAACCUCUGGUGUACCGGUUGUCACGCCAGUGGCAUCGCCGGGUAGCUAUGUUCGGAAGAGAUAACCGCUGAAAGCAUCUAAGCGGGAAACUCGCCUUAAGAUGAGAUAUCCCUGGGGACUAGAUCCCCUUGAAGGGUCGUUCGAGACCAGGACGUUGAUAGGUCAGGUGUGUAAGCGCAGUAAUGCGUUCAGCUAACUGAUACUAAUUGCCCGUAAGGCUUGAUCCUAUAACA
rnacentral:rRNA from 1 species